GACGAACGCUGGCGGCGUGCUUAACACAUGCAAGUCGAACGGUAAGGCCCUCCGGCGGAUUAGUGGCGAACGGGUGAGUAACACGUGAGUAACCUGCCCUUGACUCUGGGAUAACUGAUAGAAAUGGUAGCUAAUACCGGAUACGACCCUCGGUGGCAUCACCAGGGGGUGGAAAGAAUUUCGGUCAAGGAUGGACUCGCGGCCUAUCAGCUAGUUGGUGAGGUAACGGCUCACCAAGGCGACGACGGGUAGCCGGCCUGAGAGGGUGACCGGCCACACUGGGACUGAGACACGGCCCAGACUCCUACGGGAGGCAGCAGUGGGGAAUAUUGCACAAUGGGCGCAAGCCUGAUGCAGCAACGCCGCGUGAGGGAUGACGGCCUUCGGGUUGUAAACCUCUUUCAGCACCGACGAAGCGCAAGUGACGGUAGGUGCAGAAGAAGGACCGGCCAACUACGUGCCAGCAGCCGCCGCGG
rnacentral:rRNA from 1 species